rnacentral:snoRNA from 15 species
GUUCAUGAUGAUACCACUCAAUAGGAAGUGCCGUCAGAUGCGAUAACUGACGAUGAACUUGAUCAUGUCUGACA